AGCAGCCGCGGUAAUUCCAGCUCCAAUAGCGUAUAUUAAAGUUGUUGCAGUUAAAAAGCUCGUAGUUGAACUUCGGGGUCUACCCAUUGGUCAGGCUUAAUUGUCUGUACUGGUGAGAUGGAUCUCUACCUUCUGAGGAACUUUCAUGCCAUUUAUUUGGUGUGGUUGGAAAUCAGGACUGUUACUUUGAAAAAUUAGAGUGUUUAAAGCAGACUAUCGUCUGAAUACAUUAGCAUGGAAUAAUGAAAUAGGACGGACUGAUUCUAUUUCGUUGGUUUCUAGGAUCACCGUAAUGAUUAAUAGGGAUAGUUGGGGGCAUUAGUAUUCAAUUGUCAGAGGUGAAAUUCUUGGAUUUAUUGAAGACUAACUACUGCGAAAGCAUUUGCCAAGGAUGUUUUCAUUAAUCAAGAACGAAAGUUAGGGGAUCGAAGACGAUCAGAUACCGUCGUAGUCUUAACCAUAAACUAUGCCGACUAGGGAUCGGACGAAGUUAAUUUUAUAAUGACGCGUUCGGCACCUU
rnacentral:rRNA from 1 species